rnacentral:lncRNA from 1 species
UUUCUAAAAAUCUUGUUUGCUAGAGGAGGGUCUCCCCGUGCUUGGGCCAGUCCUGUUGACAGCCGCGCAGUAAGCACGCUACUUGGCGCCCAGCGCUGCCUGCUUUCUCAGCCUAGCGUCGAGAAAUGACUUGCCCAUCCUCCACUUGUCCCCCAGCGCUGUCAGGCAGCUGAGGCCUGGAGGAAGACUACCUAGCCAGGUAGAUAAGACAGCCCAGCACCCCGGGCAGCCCGCCUUCACCCCCUUCUGCUUUAUCUGUUGAAGCUCUGGCUCAGGACUCUUAUCUCCCACUGCUAUCAGUACAGUCUGCAUUUAGAUAGCUAAAUAAUUGAUUUAUGGUACCUCUAAGAAGGGGAGUGGAGCCCUCAGCCCCCCCCCCCAAACUUGAACUUUGUCCUAUGCUCCCCUGGGCUCACUGUGCCUUGUUGGCCUCUCUGGCCUAGUCUCCCAGUGACCACCCGCAGCUCCCUGAGGGGUUUUAAGACAACCACAGAAGGACUCUUCUGCUUUCUUGUGCUGUUGAGGAAUUCCUGGAGAACCAGAGAGUGACCCAGGCCCCCAGAACAUCUUGCAGCCCCCUGCAGCCUUCCUGUCACCCCGGAUGGAGAGUGCAGACAUGGGUCUGGGGAAUUUGUGGAAAGUCAGGAGCCCUCUUUCGGUUAUAUGUGGUAGAACACGUUCUUCUUGUAAGUGAAUUCUCCCAUGACACAUGCAGCCAGGCAGCCUCCGGGGUCCAAGCCCUGAAGGAGCCUGAGAGAAGAAAUGUGGGAUCCCUGCAAAGGUAAGUGGGUCCCCACCCACUGUACACCUCUCUCCUCUCUCUGCACUUCUUAAUCCACUCUGGAGUGGCCUGCUAGAUCUAUGCCACUGAGGAAUCUCACCUCUGGCAUGCCCGUGGACAUGGUCUCCUUUUGUGCCAUCCUCAGGGAGCCACCAAGAGAUAAUCCUAGCCCCUCUUGGUGUGGCUGAUUUUGACAGGACUCCUCUGCUGUUGAGUCCCUUUGCAGCUCCCCUCCCCCUUCAAGCAGCAGUAAGGCCCUCCCCGAGUUAGUCUGUUACCUUGACAACCCCUUGGGCCUGUCUCCCUUCUCACCACUUAGAACCUGAAGGAGGUUUUCCAGCUGCAGUACAUUUGCCCAAGUUGGGCACCCCUCCUGCUUCCAUUAACUGAACCCUCUGCCCAACUGUACCCAGCACAGCAAAAACAACCCUCCCUGGCCCCUCAGCCGUAUUCCCAAAAUGGAUCUCACUGGUGCUGGGCGCCCUCCAGACAAGAGCUCCUCACAAUUGUGAAAAGGGUGCUUCUCAAUAAACAAGUUGCAAAAAAGGGA